rnacentral:tRNA from 1 species
CAAAGUGUAGCUUAAAUAAAGCGCCUGGCUUACACCUAGUAGAUUUCAACCUAAUUGAACACUUUGA